GUGGGGAAUUUUGGACAAUGGGCGCAAGCCUGAUCCAGCCAUUCCGCGUGAGUGAAGAAGGCCUUCGGGUUGUAAAGCUCUUUCGGCAGGGACGAAAAGGCGGGCUCUAACAGAGCCUGUUGCUGACGGUACCUGAAGAAGAAGCACCGGCUAACUACGUGCCAGCAGCCGCGGUAAUACGUAGGGUGCGAGCGUUAAUCGGAAUUACUGGGCGUAAAGCGUGCGUAGGCGGUUUUGUAAGACAGGUGUGAAAUCCCCGGGCUUAACCUGGGAACUGCGCUUGUGACUGCAAGACUGGAGUGUGGCAGAGGGGGGUGGAAUUCCACGUGUAGCAGUGAAAUGCGUAGAGAUGUGGAGGAACACCGAUGGCGAAGGCAGCCCCCUGGGUUAACACUGACGCUGAGGCACGAAAGCGUGGGUAGCAAACAGGAUUAGAAACCCCAGUAGUCC
rnacentral:rRNA from 1 species